rnacentral:rRNA from 1 species
CACGUAGGGCGCAAGCGUUGUCCGGAAUUAUUGGGCGUAAAGAGCUCGUAGGUGAUUUGUUACGUCCGCUGUGAAAUCCUAGGGCUUAACCCUGGGCUUGCAGUGGAUACGGGGCAGACUAGAGGUAGGUAGGGGAGAAUGGAAUUCCUGGUGUAGCGGUGAAAUGCGCAGAUAUCAGGAGGAACACCAAUAGCGAAGGCAGCUCGCUGGGACGGUACUGACGCUAAGGUGCGAAAGCGUGGGGAGCGAACAGG